rnacentral:SRP_RNA from 1 species
GCUGGGCAUGGUGGCGCGUGCCUGUAAUCCCAGCUACUCCAGAGUCUGAGACUGGAGGAUCUCUUGAGCCCAGGAGUUCUGGGCUGUAGUGUGCUAUGCUGAUCAGGUGUCCGCACUAAGUUCAGCAUCAAUAUGGUGACCACCUGGGAGUGGGGGGACCACCAGGUUGCCUAAGGAGGAGUGAACCGGCCCAGGUCGGAAACGGAGCAGGUCAAAACUCCCGUGCUGAUCAGUAGUGGGAUCAUGCCUGUGAAUAGCCACUGCACUCCAGCCUGGGCAACAUAUCGAGACCCCAUCUCU